AACGAACGCUGGCGGCAGGCUUAACACAUGCAAGUCGAACGAGAUCUUCGGAUCUAGUGGCAGACGGGUGAGGAACACGUGGGAACAUCCCUUUCAGUUCGGAAUAACGUUGGGAAACUAACGCUAAUACCGGAUACGUCCUUCGGGAGAAAGAUUUAUCGCUGAAAGAUUGGCCCGCGUCUGAUUAGCUAGUUGGUGAGGUAACGGCUCACCAAGGCUACGAUCAGUAGCUGAUCUGAGAGGAUGAUCAGCCACAUUGGGACUGAGACACGGCCCAAACUCCUACGGGAGGCAGCAGUGGGGAAUAUUGGACAAUGGGCGCAAGCCUGAUCCAGCCAUGCCGCGUGAGUGACGAAGGCCUUCGGGUUGUAAAGCUCCUUUGGCGGGGACGAUAAUGACGGUACCCGCAGAAUAAGCUCCGGCUAACUUCGUGCCAGCCGCCGCCGUAA
rnacentral:rRNA from 1 species